rnacentral:rRNA from 1 species
GACGAACGCUGGCGGCGUGCCUAAUACAUGCAGGUCGAACGCUUUUUCUUUCACCGGAGCUUGCUCCACCGAAAGAAAAAGAGUGGCGAACGGGUGAGUAACACGUGGGUAACCUGCCCAUCAGGAGGGGAUAACACUUGGAAACAGGUGCUAAUACCGUAUAACACUAUUUUCCGCAUGGAAGAAAGUUGAAAGGCGCUGUUGCGUCACUGAUGGAUGGACCCGCGGUGCAUUAGCUAGUUGGUGAGGUAACGGCUCACCAAGGCAACGAUGCAUAGCCGACCUGAGAGGGUGAUCGGCCACACUGGGACUGAGACCCGGCCCAGACUCCUACGGGAGGCAGCAGUAGGGAAUCUUCGGCAAUGGACGAAAGUCUGACCGAGCAACGCCGCGUGAGUGAAGAAGGUUUUCGGAUCGUAAAACUCUGUUGUUAGAGAAGAACAAGGAUGAGAGUAGAACGUUCAUCCCUUGACGGUAUCUAACCAGAAAGCCACGGCUAACUACGUGCCAGCCGCCGCGGUAA